rnacentral:antisense_RNA from 1 species
CCUUCAAAUUCAAAUUUAUCCAAUCAUUUCUUCUGCUUACUACCAUCCUAAAUCAUUUUUCUUUAGUAAGAUCUAUUAGUGUGAAGCUAUUAAGCUAUUAAUGUAAGUAUCAUAUUAAUGUAUUAAGAUAUUAAGUGAGGAAGUAAAGUUGCAUUCAUAGGCCUUGAACUUUUCCACAUCUCGAUUUUUACCCAUCAUCUCUGCAUAUUUUCCUAAGGCAGCCUUCAAAUGGUGAUGUUUCCUGUCAUCCAGAGUUCAGAAGUGCCUUCUCUUCAACCUUUCUGUGGAAUUCUAAACCACGUGAUAAAGGAGCUGGUGAAAUCAUCACUGGGCUGAAAGAAUGUAGUACUGGUGACAUGAGCCUGCAUUUCCGUUUUUAAUUAAAAUUCUAACUGACCCAGAGCCAGAUUUCCUUCUGCACCAGAGCCUGUGGAAGCGCCACAGCGGAAGCACAGAGACUGGAAGAGCAGGCAAGAAGCUGGGAGCUUUGCACUGAACCAGGAAGACAUCACAGCUCUUAGGCGAAGACCCGGAAAGGUGUCAACAUGGCCACACUACUGCUCCCACCUUGUCCUUAUUUUCCUCAUCUCUCCCCACAGGCCACAGAUCAGCCCUGGGGUUCAGAGGGAUCCUGACGGCUACUCCUCAAGAUCCUCUCUGUUGUGAUUCAUCCCCCCCAGGCCCUACAGUUUCUCCUUCCUGACUCUUACAUUUCUUUGGAUGGCAUCACUAUUUACCUGUCUCCUCCCAUAGUUAGUUGCCAAGCACUGUGGAUUCUACCCCUCAGGGUCCAGACACCCAUUU